rnacentral:rRNA from 1 species
AACCAAUACGACUCUCGGCAACGGAUAUCUAGGCUCUCGCAUCGAUGAAGAACGUAGCGAAAUGCGAUACUUGGUGUGAAUUGCAGAAUCCCGUGAACCAUCGAGUUUUUGAACGCAAGUUGCGCCCGAAGCCAGAUGGCUGAGGGCACGUCUGCCUGGGCGUCACGC